UUAGACACAAUGCUAUUGCACAUUUAAUAAACUGCAAAAGAGUAUGAACAUAACUUUUAUAUGCACUGGGACCAAAACAUUCAUGUGACUUGCUUUAUUGUGAUACUCGCUUUUUUGUAAUGGUCUGGAACCAAACCCGCAAUCUCUCUGAGGUGUGCCUGUCCAAAGCGUGCACAGCAUAGAUUAAUUACAGCGAAAACAUUUGCUUUCAGUAGGAAUGGAUGCUAGUAGAGUAUGGGGGUUAAGAACAACAGGGUGUCGAGGGGCAGCAACGUUGAUUAUUGCCUGCAGGUCCUGGACAGACCUCCAUCCUCGGCCAUUGGGCUUUCUCACAGGUUAUAUUUAAUAGUAUUACAGAGACUAACGCAAGGGCUAAUGAGGCUCUGAGCCUUGGAAUCCUCUUAUGGGCUUUAUACCUUGAAGGGCUUCUUUACUCAUAGGUUAUUGAUUAGUUCUGGGGAGAGGUUUCGAGGGGCCUAUUUGAGUCUUAAUGGGAAGAGUACUGUGGAUUUUGCCAAUAUCAGUUGGAGAUUUUGCCCAUAAGGAGGAUGGUAGCUGACUCAGUAGGGACAAAUGAUCAGCGUCUCCCGAAUCAGCUCCAGGACCGUCAGAGACAAAGCAAAGACAGCGAAGUGUCACUUAAUUCACCUGGUUGGCUAUUUUGACUGUUACUGUGAAAUUCUAGAAUUAUUUCCCAUUUUGGGAGAAAGAAAUUCCAGCAUAUUUGCUGAGCCGUCUUGGCCCAAUAAAUGAAUAGGGGCGGAGAGACUAAGGAGGGAAGUGUGGGUAUCUCUCAGGGGCCUAAACGAAAAGGAACAGGUUCAGAGACAGGACCCUGUUGAGGUUCCUCAGAGACCCCCACUAUUUGGAUCACUUUCGUGCUCUGAGGCAGGGGCUGCUUUACCGCAGUUGAACUGAGAGUGUGGCUCUGGUGCCAAAAGAGAUUCAUUCCCAAUCUGGAGAGUUGUUUUUCUGAGCUGAUGAAGAGGGAGGGUUGGGAAGAACCCCUGUGGUUCCUCAGAGGCCCGUUGGUGGUGGUCAGGAGGGCGUUGGAAAGGCUGGUUAGAGGGCUGAAGGCACUUGAGGCACUUACACUUGUGACAAUCUUUUUCCCAAAGUCCUGGCUUUUUGCAAUAAUAGCAGGAAUUAGGAGGAUUUGGGUUUUACUUAGGGACCUUCAUUUGCUGGAGUUGAAGGUUAAGGGUUUGAGUGGACUUCCUUUCAGUUGAAUAGAGUGCAGAUGAGUUGGUGGCUAAAUUAGCUAAAUCUGGAGUGGACGUGGUUUCCGGUUCAACCCAGGUCCUUUCAUCUAGAAGGGAAGGAUCCCAGUUACGCCUGCUAAUGAACACAGAGUUAAAGGCUACCUGAGUGGAUUUGUUACCAAAGCAAACUUGGGUCUGAUCAUCCAUGGAGUAAAGCCGAUCUCCUGACACCAGUGUGUGAUGAAGGAAAUGGCGGCGUUUAUUGCAGGCGCCAAGCAAGGAGUCCACGCAGCUGGUGCUCAAAAGGCCCGAACUCCCUUAAGUCUUUCAGGGGUCAUCCCUGGGGUCUCUUCGGGUCUUCUCCCACACACAGCUCUGCUGGCAGUUCCAGCGAUGCCCUCAUGCACCCCACCCUGCGCAAUGAGUUACCAGGGAAACGGUGGCAUCUGGAGAAUGCAUGUGCAGGAAGGGCCCAGCAGGCUGCAGCCCCUGGAUGGAUGCAGCCCUCGGAACAGCCGGUGCUGCUCCCACACGUGUUGGUCAGAAACUGCGGUCACCAGGCCGGGCUGCAUCACAGCACCUCGUGUUUAUUGGAAAUCCCCACAUUCUGUGGAAAAUCGAGGGUUUGCCGUCUUUCAACUCAAUUGCUUCGCUAGCGGCCGUCUGGGUUAGAGAUGGUGGGGGCGUGUGGCCCUCAAGGGAGCAGGAGGGAGGCCCUUGUGGCGAAGGGACCCACCGACCGGGCUGCUCCCUGAGUGCAAAGCGGGCACAGGGAGCCUCACCUGUGAGAAAGGACUCGGCACAAGCAGGGUCUCCUGGUCACAGUGUCCUAGCAUCACGGAAGAUGCGAGCAUUGCAGGAAACUCGGUGCAGGGUACCCCGGACCCCUCUGUGCCAUGUGUGAAACUUCACGUGAAAAUAAAAAGGUUUUUC